GUGUCAGCCGCCGCGGUAAUACGAAGGGGGCUAGCGUUGUUCGGAUUUACUGGGCGUAAAGCGUACGUAGGCGGGUGGUUAAGUCAGAGGUGAAAUCCUGGAGCUCAACUUCAGAACUGCCUUUGAUACUGGCCAUCUUGAGUUCGGGAGAGGUGAGUGGAACUGCUAGUGUAGAGGUGAAAUUCGUAGAUAUUAGCAAGAACACCAGUGGCGAAGGCGGCUCACUGGCCCGAUACUGACGCUGAGGUACGAAAGCGUGGGGAGCAAACAGGAUUAGAUACCCUGGUAGUCCACGCUGUAAACGAUGAAUGCCAGCCGUCGGGGAGCAUGCUCUUCGGUGGCACAGCUAACGCAUUAAGCAUUCCGCCUGGGGAGUACGGUCGCAAGAUUAAAACUCAAAGGAAUUGACGG
rnacentral:rRNA from 1 species